rnacentral:lncRNA from 13 species
AAGGGGAUUGGGUUCUGGUCUCACAUCCACUGGCUGCGUGGUCCGGGCAAGUCGUGUCAGCUCCUAAGCCUUGCUGUCCUCAUCCGUAGAACGGGGCUACUGUACUCUCUGCAUUAGAGGAUCCCUGGGAGGGUUAGAUGAGGUAACCCUUUGAGCCUUCAAAGAACCCAUAAGCCUCAUAUGACAGAUUCGUGUGUCCAGCCCUCGGCCUCCUGUGUGGCAGGCAUCGUCCUAGUACUAGGGAACAAGAGAAGUCCCCUGCCAUAGUUAAAAAUUGGUUAAGCAAUCUACUCUAGAUGUAUCAUUUCUGAAAGUGAAACACUGACUGAAGCUAAGCUGAAUGGGGGUCGAGGUGACGGCAGGGCUGGGCUUAGACAAAACUUGUCCCGGAAGAGAUGUUUGAGCAGAGACUAGAUGUACAAGAGUGAGCCACGCCAUGUUCUGAGGGGAGAGCAUGCCAGGUGGAUGGCAGUGGGGAGCAGCCAGGCAAAGGCCACACAGAGGGAGGGAAUGAGCUUGGUAGGUUUAAGCAGCAGCAAGGAGCCCUGGCCUUCAGCUGAGUGAGCAAGGAAUAGAGAGCAGAGGAGGUGGAGAACGACAGGGCCAUUGCACAGGCCAUCAGAAGGAAGGGGAAUGUUAUUCUAAGUGCCUCGACAUGGGGAGGUCAUUGGGAGGUUUUGACCCCAAGGGUGGUGUGAGCUGACUUGGCGUCAUAAAGGCCAUUCUGGUUCCUGGGUGGAGAGUUAAUCCAGGGCAAGGGCAGAAACAGGAAGGAACGCAGGUCUACAAAACUCACGGCCCUGUUUCCUGAGAGGACAGAAACGUUCUCAGGAGGGCCCUGGGUUUCCAUGGCUUCUCUUUGCCUCCUUGGUUUGGCAAUGGUAGCGUCGACUGUUCCACAGCUACCUCAUCUGUGCCCAGAGCUGUGUGCCCAUUCUGUCCUCAAGGUCCCCCACCUGCUGUAGGAGCCAGUGGCAGGUGUGAGGGUGUCCCUGUUCUGAGCCCAGCUCUCAAGAGGACAUGCCCGGUUCUGCCUGCUCUCUCUCGCACUGCUGGUGUGCUGCAGCAGCCUUCGAUGAGACCAGCCUACACCCGCCAACAGCCAAGGACUCCUGGAUUCAUGACCAAACUCAGGAACGAUCAGCUGAGAUCUGCUAACCCUCAGCCUUGGCUCACGGCUAGAAAUAAGAAACGAUUAUUAUUUUAAGCCAUCG